rnacentral:rRNA from 1 species
CCUACGGGUGGCUGCAGUGGGGAAUAUUGGGCAAUGGGCGCAAGCCUGACCCAGCAAUGCCGCGUGAAGGAAGAAGGCUCUCGGGUUGUAAACUUCUUUUAUCAGGGACGAAGCAAGUGACGGUACCUGAUGAAUAAGCCACGGCUAACUACGGGCCAGCAGCCGCGGUAAUACGUAGGUGGCAACCUUUAUCCGGAUUUACGGGGUGUAAGGGGCGUGUAGGCGGGAAAGCAAGUCAGAUGUGAAAACCAUGGGCUCAACCUGUGGCCUGCAUUUGAAACUGUUUUUCUUGAGUACUGGAGAGGCAGACGGAAUUCCUAGUGUAGCGGUGAAAUGCGUAGAUAUUAGGAGGAACACCAGUGGCGAAGGCAGCCUGCUGGACAGCAACUGACGCUGAGGCGCGAAAGCGUGGGGAGCAAAUAGGAUUAGAUACCCGUGUAGUC